GCGUGUCUCGAUACCCGCAUAUACCCUGCGAACCCACGGCGCAAGCCGCUGUGUUGCCUCGGCCAGCGGCCCCAGGGCGGGGCCCGCCUAGCCCGGUCGGACCGGGUGCUGGCCGGCGGCGCGAACUUCUGGAUCGUGAACGAGGGAGCUCUGAGUGAGGAUGGCCCGAAUUGACAUA
rnacentral:misc_RNA from 1 species